rnacentral:rRNA from 1 species
AGAGUUUGAUCCUGGCUCAGGACGAACGCUGGCGGCGUGCUUAACACAUGCAAGUCGAACGGAAAGGCCCUUCGGGGUACUCGAGUGGCGAACGGGUGAGUAACACGUGGGUGAUCUGCCCUGCACUUUGGGAUAAGCCUAGGAAACUGGGUCUAAUACCGAAUAGGACCACGCGCUUCAUGGUGUGUGGUGGAAAGCUUUUGCGGUGUGGGAUGGGCCCGCGGCCUAUCAGCUUGUUGGUGGGGUAAUGGCCUACCAAGGCGACGACGGGUAGCCGGCCUGAGAGGGUGACCGGCCACACUGGGACUGAGAUACGGCCCAGACUCCUACGGGAGGCAGCAGUGGGGAAUAUUGCACAAUGGGCGCAAGCCUGAUGCAGCGACGCCGCGUGAGGGAUGACGGCCUUCGGGUUGUAAACCUCUUUCAAUAGGGACGAAGCGCAAGUGACGGUACCUAUAGAAGAAGCACCGGCCAACUACGUGCCAGCAGCCGCGGUAAUACGUAGGGUGCGAGCGUUGUCCGGAAUUACUGGGCGUAAAGAGCUCGUAGGUGGUUUGUCGCGUUGUUCGUGAAAACUCACAGCUUAACUGUGGGCGUGCGGGCGAUACGGGCAGACUAGAGUACUGCAGGGGAGACUGGAAUUCCUGGUGUAGCGGUGGAAUGCGCAGAUAUCAGGAGGAACACCGGUGGCGAAGGCGGGUCUCUGGGCAGUAACUGACGCUGAGGAGCGAAAGCGUGGGGAGCGAACAGGAUUAGAUACCCUGGUAGUC